CUUUUAUGCAGAUACGUCAAUCCUUUUAAGUGUGACCAGUUCCAUUUGCCCUGGUGUCACAUACUUGGGUGAUAUAAGAAUGGAAACUUGUCAGCCAUUAAAGAGCCUUUAACCCAAAA